rnacentral:snRNA from 1 species
AAAUACGCGACGGGGUAU